GGCGGGGCGGCGGCGCGCUCAUUAGAAGGCGGAGGCGCUUGGCGCGCGGACUGGAGAGGGGACUCCGCGCUGGCCCUGCUGCCUGGGGCGCCCCCGCCUUCCCCGCCAGGACCCGCGUGAAUCCGAGUGGAGCGUCGAUCUCUGCGGACAGAAGCCGGGAGGCUCCCCCGGAGGAGGCUCGUGCAGCUGCCGUUCGCGGGUCCGGUCCUGGGCAUGUGACCUGCUGACUCACAGAUACCUCAUUUUACAUACACAAUCCUGCCACUGAAAUGAGCUGCACACACUCCUUUUGAGAGCAGAAAAGGUACUAGGGGAAAUAUGCUUGGGACAUGUCCAGAGGAGGUUGGGAUUUUUAAAAGCACAAAUACUUAAUUAAUCCUUUUCACUUUUAUUGCUCUCAAGGGAUUUUAAUCACUCAAGGAUACAUCUAAAACAACAUGAUGCCCCCAGAAAGCAGAAGAUCCUUUCAGAUUCAAAUGUACUAUGAUUCAAGCUUAAAAUAUAUGGCCAUUAUAAAAUAAAAUGGCUAAUGUUUAAAAUGAAAUCCUUCAAGUUGCAAAUGGUUCCUUUACUUCCAAGUGAAAUUCUAAAACAGAAAUCCCCAUUUCUUCACCAUUUCCACUGUGGGUACUUUGAGGUUUAGUAGGAUUCCCGUUCUGGCUGAAGCUCUUUCCACUCUCUGAGCACGUAUAUGGUUUCUACACAGUGUGGGUUCUUUGAUGCCAAUUAAGAUUUCCACUGUGCUGAAGCUCUUUCCAUACUCCAAGCAUUUAUGGGGUUUCCCCCUUGUGUUCAUUUCCCACUGUGAUUGAAAGCUUGGUUCGGAACGGAGGAUUUUGCUAUUCUCAGGGCAGGGACUUCUUUCUCCUGUUAUUUUUGAGAUUAUUGUUUUACAGAUGCCACCCUGCUGGGAAGCAGAAGGUCCCUUCUUGUUCUUCUCCACUGCUUAAGGUUUUCCUUCUGUUGUUCCCUCUUUUCCCCUCUGAUCCCUCUGCACAGUCAUGGGUGGGGCCUUCCUUCCUCCUCACUCUCCUAGCCCUCACCUGCUGAAACAAAGAGAGAGAACCGGUCAGAGCCUGAGACAGGAAAGGCCUUCCCUUCUCAAAUGGCAGCACAGAGGGACUGCUCUGAUCACAGAAGAACCACAAAGCCACCCUGCUCUGGGUGACUGAGUCCUGGGGAGAGACGGCAGGCAGAGCCCUUGCUGUGUCCCUCUAAGGUCUCAAGCCAGCAGCAACCUGGCCUGCUCCCAAGGGUUUCUGCCCGCCUGACAAGAUCAUCGGAGGGGGCUCUGCUCCGUGUGCCAACAGUGAGAGAGAUUCGGUUGCCGAGUACGUGGGACGGGGCCUUCUCAGUCAUGGCCCCCAGGCUUUGGAGUGCUUUCCCGGUUGGCGUCCGCUCCUCAGUCUCCUUGACAGUUUUAAGGAAAAAAGUAACUGGGCUCUGCACCCAUGAAAAGUAUUGUUUUACUAUUGCCACUUUGUGUUUUAUGUAUUAUUGUUUUUUAAUGGAUCAUUAAAUGUUAUUUAUAUUAUUUUUA